rnacentral:snoRNA from 1 species
AAGACUGUGCUUUCAGGGAUUGUUUCUAUAGUUGGGGAUUAGAGAAGGGUCUGUGUGAAAAAGCUGGUCUUGCUAACCAUGAUGAAGAAUUAUAGUGUUUCCUUCUGAGCCUGACAGUAGCAAAUGGUGCUGGUCUGUGCCAGUUAUUUUUUUGCUGUGGAGGAUUGUCUUGUUUUUCAUGAGCAAAGCAAAGCAAGGAAAGGAACUACAGACUGAGUGGU